rnacentral:rRNA from 1 species
AUUGAACGCUGGCGGAAUGCUUUACACAUGCAAGUCGAACGGCAGCACGGACUUCGGUCUGGUGGCGAGUGGCGAACGGGUGAGUAAUGUAUCGGAACGUGCCCAGUCGUGGGGGAUAACGUAGUGAAAAUUACGCUAAUACCGCAUACGAUCUAUGGAUGAAAGCGGGGGAUCGCAAGACCUCGCGCGAUUGGAGCGGCCGAUAUCAGAUUAGGUAGUUGGUGGGGUAAAGGCCCACCAAGCCAACGAUCUGUAGCUGGUCUGAGAGGACGACCAGCCACACUGGAACUGGGACACGGUCCAGACUCCUACGGGAGGAAGCAGUGGGGAAUUUUGGACAAUGGGCGAAAGCCUGAUCCAGCCAUUCCGCGGGCAGGAUGAAGGCCCUCGGGUUGUAAACUGCUGUUGUACAGGACGAAAAGGUUUCUACUAAUACUAGGAGCUCAUGACGGUACUGUAAGAAUAAGCACCGGCUAACUACGUGCCAGCCGCCGCCGUAA